rnacentral:rRNA from 1 species
UACAGAGGUCUCAAGCGUUGUUCGGAUUCAUUGGGCGUAAAGGGUGCGUAGGCGGCGCGGUAAGUCGGGUGUGAAAUCUCGGAGCUUAACUCCGAAACUGCAUUCGAUACUGCCGUGCUUGAGGACUGGAGAGGAGACUGGAAUUUACGGUGUAGCGGUGAAAUGCGUAGAUAUCGUAAGGAAGACCAGUGGCGAAGGCGGGUCUCUGGACAGUUCCUGACGCUGAGGUCGACGAAAG